GACUUCAUGGAUGGGCAUCUGUCUUAAUUGAAUUGCUUAUGGAUAAAAUCAUGUUGAAAUUUGUAUUCGAACAAAGGAAAAUGUUGAGUUUUAAAGGGAGAUGCUGUCAAAUUUUUCUAUAUGAAUUUGGAAAUAGUUAAAAGUUUUGUAGUAAAAUUUAUAGCUAGAAAGUACAAUUUAAAAGUAUUAAUUAUAAAUAAUUUAAGAGCUACGUGGAUUUGAUCCUCCAUAGUGCCAAGGGGUUAGAAAGUUUGAGUAGUAAUAUGUAAAUUUCAGG
rnacentral:misc_RNA from 1 species